UGACCGGUGGCUCAGUGGUUAGAGCAUUGGUCUGCACACCAAAGGUCUUGGGUUUGAUUCCUGGUCAA
rnacentral:tRNA from 1 species